CUUUAUGAAAAGCCAAAAAGUGCAAAAUCUCAAAAUUGACAGGUGCCUGAAAAAACAGUGUUUUUGCCUGUAGUGUCUCCCCUUAAGAAGUUUUACAUUUUUUAUACUAAUUAAUGUUUAUUUAGUGCAUCGUGAAACUGUGAAUGAGAAGCUCCUUUAGGUUAAAAAGACCAAAAUAGGUAUUGGUUUAUAUAUACUCAAUAUAAUAACAUUACACAAAGCUAUUUUAAUUGCAGUUAUAAACAAGUCAACAAUAGAUGCUGACCUUCCAAAUAUAGUUUACAUGGAUAUGUGUUUCUGAAAGUCUGGUAAUAUGCACUUUUCCUGAAAAAGGCAGCACUGUCACAGAUUUCUGCACCUUACUUUGAACUACCACGGCUUUCAGAACUACUAUCAUUACUAUGUAUCACUAUUGCUUUCGCUUCUUUAUAUUCAUGACAUGCAUUAAUAAAACCACCUUUAAAAUUCCAUUUACAUAGCCUAAAAGUGCUCAGCUUAAAAUGAGCAUGAGAUUAAAAUAACAGGGAGAAAGAGAAAAAGGAGAAAAGCACUUCAUCAUCGUUUUAGCCAGGACACCCUCAGGGCAGCUUGUUCAAACGAGUUCCCGUUAAGCAAACGGUGACUGUUCUCUAUUGCGAUCACGAUUAUGAGAGGUGGACGACACUCUCGUCAGGUACAUUUCAUCCAGCUAAACUGCAUCUUCAGCUCCAGUCCAUUCAAGUCAAUGCGUUCUCUGAUGUGUUUUGUACCAACCAUAUCUACUGCAACAAGACGGGCACUUUAAGAGGUGCGAUUGAAAACACAAACCACAAAUCCAUUCAUGUCCAGGGUGUGUGUUUAAUGUCAUUUGGUUGUUUUUGUCUCCCCGAACAGAGCGAGAACAUGACGCUGGCAGACACGAGCGGCGUUUUUGGCAGACGUUCCCUGAUGACAGCUGGUCAACAGCAUCUUCUCGAAACCUGAUUGAGUUUCCCUUUUAUUUAAACACCCGUUAUGAUUCCAAUCAGAUCCAUUCGUAGAGAUGCAGAGUAGAAUGAAUCUAUAAAAUUACAUUUUUAUUCUAAAAUAUGGACAGUGUAAUGCAGAUGAUUUUUUUUUUUUUUUUGUAAAAAAAAAAAAAAAAACUUUCUAAACAUUUGCUUUGCUGACUUCAAACAAGACACAUGAAUAUAAAUAUGACAUGUGGUAUGAAAACGCCAUGUUUUGACAAAUAAUUCACCUAUACAGGUGUUUGUGCAUUACAUACACAAAGUAAACACUACACACACACAAACUUCCUAGGGAAUGCAAUGACAAUAAUCAGACGUUGCCGAAAUUAAGACUAAAAUUAAGGCAAAAUCCACCCGCCUGAAUCCACAUUUCUCAAAUGACUUGGACGUAUCUGUAUCUAUAAAUGUGUCAAAAGUACGAAUCGGGGUAGCUAAAAAAUUCUGUGGUUGCCUCGCUGGAGGGAGUCUUCCAGGAAGUACAAUCAGCGUGUGCAUUUUUUUUAGACUACAGUUUUAAAUAGGAUCUUUACCUUUAUCCAACAUUUCUCUUUUUGAUUUCGCCUUAUGAGCAUGACAGAUUAUGAUUAGGCGCAGACACACAUUUGCACUGUUCUUCUGUUACCAUGGUUACCAUUUUGAGAGAUGAUGGGAAUACAUCCCAUAAUUAAAUGUUCAGAACAUCAGCAUUAUAACAAUAUUUCGAGUAAUAAAACAUCAUCUCUGAAGUACA